rnacentral:misc_RNA from 1 species
GGGGGGGGUGGGGGUUGGUGGGGUUUUGUGGUGUGGGUAGUACAGACUGUUGCUAAAAUAGGUGCUCGGAAAACAUAUACUAUUAAGGUCACUUUCUCCUUGUUAUAAUACACUGUAUAAAGACACAUGUCACUUGUGAUUAGCUGAAUCAGAAGUUGUCUACUAGUAGAUCAAAAUAGCUAUAUGAUACCUACAAUAAAGCCACGAUUGCAACAUCAAAUCUUUACGGCUCGGAUUUAGAUCAUCGCCUAUUCCAUUUAGUAUCAUGUGGUUGAAGUGCUUCUUAGAUGCCAGGAAACCUGUCAUUGCACAUCUGUAAAAAAGGACAUUCAACCAUACAAGUUCCAGG